AACCACUAGGGAAGCCAUGAAACACGGCCUGUAACUGGACACUUGGGCCGUGCGGAGCUGGUAGUGUAACCGGCCCUCUUAAAU
rnacentral:ncRNA from 2 species